rnacentral:lncRNA from 1 species
AAUAUAAUUAUUUUGAAUUCUUCAAAAGCUUGAUUCAUUUCAAGAAUAUAGCUAACUAACUCUAUGUGUUUCUUAACCUCACAAAACACUUUAUUUUAUAUAUGUGAAGUUUGACUUGCAUAAAGGAAACAUUCAUUCUUUUCCUUUAAUUGCAAACCAGGAUAAUUAUUAUAAUGUGUUGAUGAGGAUUGGAACUCAGAGAAAGCUUGAGUUCCAAUCCUCAUCAACACCUUAAUAGUAGCCUUGUGAUGACAAAUUUAAAUUGUGACUGAAUUCUUGACACACAGAAGCUGUAAGAAAAUAUGUAUUUGUAACUUCAAGCUGUUAAAUUUGUAGUGAUUUGUUAUGCAGCAAUGGAUGACUAGUAUAAUGGAUCAACUCACUUAAAUUUGGGAACUUCAGCAUGAAAAUAGCCUGCUGAAAGAAUUCACUUUGAAAAUGCCACAAAACAGACAAUGGAAAAAUGAGGGUCAUCAGAACUACAUCUUCCUAAGAGGGAAAGAAACACCCAAUAACAUCUUGGCAGGUGCUGCAUAAUCAUGCCUCAAAUGACUUUCUGAAGAUAAAAAGAAAGUGGUACUUGCUUGCAUAACUGAACAUAUCUGCCUGAGUUGUUUUCCUACAGAUGUUAUCCUGGGAAUAGAAACAAAAUUGUUCAUUCCCUAGCAGCCUUCAAGAAGCACUGUGAUCUAGGGCAGCACAGAGCCAGCAAUGAGAGACAGAAUGACAUUCACAAUUCUAGAAGAAAACACUGGAGUGGAAUAUACACAGAAUGGCUGUUUGGUCUCAAGACUGCAUGAAUUAUUAUCCGGCUAUGCUGGAUGUUCUAAUUCCUUUCUCUCAGAGGACUGUAGGUAGAUACAUAUGCUGACUACAUAUGUGGAUAACACUGUCGA